rnacentral:rRNA from 1 species
UACGUAGGAUGCAAGCGUUGUUCGGAAUUACUGGGCGUAAAGAGUACGUAGGCGGUUUGAAAAGUCUGCUAUUAAAGACUGGGGCUUAACUUCAGGAGUGUAGUGGAAACUUUCAGACUAGAGGACAAUAGAGGAAGUCGGAAUUCUCAGUGUAGCGGUGAAAUGCGUAGAUAUCGCUUGGAACGCCAAAGGUGAAAACAGGUUGCUGGGGUUGUGCCGACGCUGAGACACGAAAGCCAGGGGAGCAAACAGG